GAGGGUAUAGCUAAAGUGGUAAAGUGCAUGCUUAGCAUGCUUAAGGUCCUGGGUUCAAUUCCCAGUACUUCCU
rfam:Camelus ferus unplaced genomic scaffold scaffold1331, whole genome shotgun sequence.